UACGGGGGGGGCAAGCGUUGUUCGGAAUUACUGGGCGUAAAGGGCGCGUAGGUGGCCAACUAAGUCAGACGUGAAAUCCCUCGGCUUAACCGGGGAACUGCGUCUGAUACUGGAUGGCUCGAGUGUGGGAGAGGGAUGCGGAAUUCCAGGUGUAGCGGUGAAAUGCGUAGAUAUCUGGAGGAACACCGGUGGCGAAGGCGGCAUCCUGGACCAUGACUGACACUGAAACGCGAAAGCCAGGGGAGCAAACGGG
rnacentral:rRNA from 1 species